GAGAAAAUGAAACUUGAACGGAACUCGUACUGGCCGAAGGAACGUCCGGCUACGCGCAUCUUCGUGUUGGCCGUCGUCGUCGCCCUUGCUCCCCUCUCCUCUGGCCAAGCCGGCGCUCCGCCCUUCCACGACUGCUUGCGUCGCCUCACCGGUGCUCGCCAUUCGUCCCGCCGCCGCGGCCGCUCUCGCUCUUAAGGAAUGGGACUGUGGACGUUGCUAGAGGGUUUUUUGCUUCUCGCAAAUGCGUUGGCGAUACUGAACGAAGACCGUUUUCUUGCUCCUAGGGGAUGGAGCAUGUCUGAAGUGUCAGGAAACGGGCAAACAAAGUCGUUGAAGGGCCAGAUCGUGGGGCUUAUCUACGCCACGCAAUUUCUGAGGAUGCCCUUGAUAGCCCUUAAUGUUCUUAUCAUUGUUGUGAAGUUGGUGUCAGGCUGAGCCUCCUUGUAUAGUUUUGGCUGUUGGGUUGGAUCAAUAUCAGUUCCAGCAUUAUGUAAAAGUUAAUUAUACUCAAAGUUGCUGGAAAUAUGUUUGUGUUGGCUCCAAUGUGGAUUUCUGUUAUUGUUCUGGUAAAUUAAUUCUGGUCAGAAGACAGUUUUUUCAGCAUUUAUACUGUCAAAGUAUGUGUUGUGUGCAAGUGUGAUCAAUUUGUUUGAAAUGUGUCUUAUGCAUUACGCGUGGUUAUCUUUCCUUUGUUCUUACUUAUGAAUUGCUGACACAUUUGUUGUUUAUGAGCAUGUUUUAUGGUUGCCUCCCCCUAUUUUAGUGCUCAGGGUCAGUGUUAUUUUGCAGUUGGAUAAUGCUUUACAGCUAAAGGCAUUUGUCUACUACCUUAGGCUGAGUGGUGAUACAAACCAACCUUUUGUGUAAAAAUGCUGUCAGUACAUUUCAAUGCUACAGAUGCUGAUCAAGUGGAGAAGAAAAAUUAUCUAUUCACUCAUUUCUGUUGCAACUUGCAGAGAGGUUCAGGUUAUGUUCAUAUGUAAGACCUCCUCUUAGUCUAUAGACACUGCACUUUUGUUAACGUGAGGUCCACACCAAGCUCUGGCUCAACAAUGAGUUUAAGUGUUGGAGAAUGCUCGUAGUGUGGUGAGAGCUUCAGAAUAAACUUGGAGAUGAUAAGAGAG